CAAGCUCCAUUGAAGAAGUCAGUCGGGCCUCCGAGAAGAUCACCUCUAGAUGGUAAAUUUAAUAUGCAACUUCACCUUUAUCACCUUCUCUAUAAUUUUCAGUUUUUAGCGAGAAUUAUUAAUUUUUCUCUUAAAACUUUGGGGGAUUUAGCUGUAAUUUAUACCGUGUGUUUUAAUUUUUGGUCUGGGUUUUAUUUUGCAGAUUUUGUUGCUCAUUGGAAUCGAAUAAUCAGCUCAUAACUCAACAAAGAAUGGGAUCAAGAGCUGCAGAUCGUCUUCGAGGAUUGCAAUACUAAGAAAAAGGUUGGAUUUAUAUAUUCAUGAUUAUUUUUUUUUGGAAUUUUCUGUUUGGAGAUUCCAUUUUUAGGGCAUCUUCUAUUCAAGUAUGGCUUAUUGAUGUUCUCAAUGGAUGAUGUAAUCUGAUUUGUUUCUCAUUCAGCCAUAUAAUUUUAUUGAAUUAACUCAAUAAAAUUAUAUGUGUAGAUUUACAUCAGAUGUUAAGCUAAAGAGCAUUUCCUUUUUCCCGUUCAACUUUCAACCUUUUCUUUUCAUGGAUAAAUUGUAUACAAACAUAGACUCGGUGUAAUUGUGUGUGUGCGCGCGUGUCAAUUGUUUUUUUGGUGCAUAGAAUUUUGGUUUGGGGAUAUGAUGAGUUGGAGGAGAGUUUUCAAGUCUUUUCAAGUGGUGGUGCCUCAUGGGUUGCUUUUCUCCUUCUCUCUUAUUCUCUCUCUCAAGCUCGAUCAUGCUGUCAACUACUCUUGGUGGUAUGUUUUUUCUUCUUCUUUGGCUGUGUUUGUGUUUAUUUGAUGUUAAUUAUGCUCUGUUUGUUUUACUAAAGAUGGGAAUUGAACUGUGGGGAUUUAUAUAGGUUUAAUUUGAUGGCUAGAAAAUUAGGAUUUGGGUUGACUAAGGUGAAAAAUGUGGGCUUUCUCUGUUAUUUUGCAGCUAAUUCUUUCUCCUUAAUUUGGAUUUUGGGUUUACUUUGUAUUUGUAUGCUAUUUUAUUUUAGGGUUAUGAUUUGGUUAAGUUGGUGCAAGAGUUGCAUCUACAUUUGGUAUUUCGAAUUUCAUCUUAUUAACUUUUUAGGAAGUUUGGCGAAUGUGGCAAGAAUGGACGGUAUUAUGAAUUUUGAAGAUUAUUAAGGUAAUUGUUUAAGUUUUUAACAUCUGCCUAUAAUUUUUUGCGAGAGGUUUAUGAUAAGAUGAAAAUGUGAAUGCUUCCAAGAAAGAAGGGUUUUUCUUUUGCCAGCUCUAAAAAAUGUGAAAAGUGAUGGAAUAUAUAUCCCAUGUUCAAUUUCUGAAUGUGAAUGGUUUGGAGGAAAAGAAACUUGAGGCACAAUCCUUUUUGUCGAUCAAGAGAUUUUUUCUUUUGUUUCAGUUUCCUUUUCUUCAUUGCUCGAUGAAUACAACGCCUGUAGACUCUCUACUUGAGCAAGAUAACAUUUUCUCUUAAUAUCUUAGUACGUAUAUUAUUGUAUAUCAGCAAGACACCCAAUCGGAUUGCUAUUAUAUAAGUUUUUUCAAGAAAAAUAAUAAAAAAGUUAUAAAAUGCUGAAAAAUAGGAAUUUUCUGUUUGGAGAAUUAAUGCCUAUGGCAGUGAAGUGUGGCAUAAAAAGGAUGUUAGACGCAGUUGAAACUGAAAACUUUGAUGCUUUUCUUAACAAUAUAAAUGUAAUGCUUGAUUAUAAGUUCUGAUUAGCAAAACCAUCUAUAAAUGUAAUGCUUGAUGAUGAGUUCUGAUCAGCCAAAUCAUUUAUAAUAAUGCUUGGUGACAAAGUUCUGAUGAACAGGGGAGACCCAUAUUUUUCUUGAUUGCAUUGGUGAUGUGAUAUAAUUUGAUCAUCAAAUGGAAGUUCCAGAAUCUCAUACUUAAUACUCCACUUAUUUCUCUUCUUCCAUUUUAGAGUUUCAUGUGCUGGUGACCAACCUCGAUAUGCAAAGUUUUCAAUUGCUUUUUGCUCUUUCAGGUUAUUCUUGCCCAUACCCUUUGGUGUCAAUGUAUUUCAUUUUGGAAUAAAGAUAAAUGGACUGGAGUUGAGCAGCGGCGCAUGAUUUACAAUCUGUAUUCAUUUUUUUAAAGGAAAGAGUUAGUGUUCAUUGAGCCCAAGUAGUUUAUGGAUCAAUUUUUAUUUUAGGAGUCUGGAUUGGGCAUGAGAGUUGAGGUUGUUUUGGAUUGAUGCUAUUAAUUAGUUUAGUUUUACAUUAAUUGAGCGUGUUUCUUAACAUUAAUUAAGUGGGAUAUUGUGAGUAUUUUUUUAUUGAUGUUCUAUAUAAUCAAAUAAGAUUAACGUUUCAACAUUUUCUUUUGGCCGUAGAAAAAUCCAAAAUUUUACUACAAGCAAUGAUUAAGUUUAUUAGAUCUACUUCAUGAUAAAGUUGGAAUGAUUGGAAAUUAAUUUAACUUACUCUAAACAAUUCAUAAUUGCAAGUUUAUUCAUGUAGUAUUAAGUGAGACUUAAUAAAUUUGAGUUGUAAUGAAUUAAAACUUAUUUAAUGAUUAAUUAUUUAUUAAUUAAUAUUUAUUCAGUAGUUGAUUUGUGAUAGUAUGCUUUAAUGAGUGUCUAUAAAUAAUUUAUACAGAAAUAAAAUUAUUUUAAAAAUCACCAACAUUUUACAAAUAGUUUCAAUAAAAAAAUAUUUGCAUUCAAAAUAUUAUCAUCAUUUUUUUUUGUAUUAGUUAUUACUAAUUUAUUGUAUUAGCUAUUACUAAUAUAUUAGCGUUUGUUAGUAUAUCAGUAUAUUAGUAUAUUAGUUAGUUUAUUUUUCUAAUUUAAAAGUUAUAAUAUUUUCUUUAUAAAAAUACUAACAUUUAUUAUUUAAAAAUGUUUAGAUAUUUAUUUUUAAAUACUAUGUAACCCAUAUAAGAAAGUAUGGUUCGUCAAGUGACCAGCGCCGAGAGUCACUUGAUGGUAUCGCAUAGUACUAUGCAUAUAAUUGAAAAAGAAUAUGCAUAAAGAUAAAUAUAAAUAGAGAUGUCAAUUGGGCCAAUCCACAGGGUGUCGGGCUAGCCCUAUCGGGUUACAUGUUAUUCGAGUGCGGGCUAAUUGAGUUGAAGUUUUUUUUGGUUUAGAAAUUUCUAACCCUAGCCCUAAAUGUUAUGAUUUCGGGCUAAUCGGACUCAAAAAUUUAUUUAAUAAAUUUCCAUUUGUGGUGUGUUUUUUUUAAUUUAUCAUACAACACUAUAUUUGUGUAUGUUGUCGAUAUGAAUUUGCUUGAUUUCUUAUAUUCAAUAGUUUAUUUCUUUUAGAAUUGAGUCAUGUAUAUGGUAUGAUGUAUAUAGCUUAUGUCUAUUUUCACCAACAAGCAUGUGUUUGUAGUGAGAAUUAUUGAUUUUUCUCUUAAAAACUUUGGGGAUUUAGUGCAUGUGUUUAUACUGCAGAAUUGAUGUGUAUAUGGUAGGAUGUAUACAGCUUAGUCAUAUUAUUGUUAGUUCUUUCUUUCUCCUUGACUAUUUUAAUUUGAUUUGUUGAACCCAUAACUAUUACAUAUAUAGUGUUUAGAAAAUUCAUGUUUAUGAGGUUGCUGUCUGUUGGUUGUCUCGAUCAAUUUGGCACCGAUUUUACUUAUUAAAUUCUUCAAUUUUCUCUUCUUCAUUUUUAUUUUGAUUUGCUCUAUGAUUCAGGGCUUGGCAACCGGAGGUCCCUCAGCUGGCUGUUAACGAUGGUGGGGAGGGCUGAGCUGUAGUGGCGUUUGUAGCAUUUUCAUGUUCUGACAGGAUCGCGGAUGGCAAAAGGUACAAGUAGAUACAAAUUUGUUUAAAUAAUGAUAUUUGUAUUAAAUUGGCUACAACACUCGCCAGCCAUCUCUCUAUCUUUCUCCUGCCAAAUAGAUACCGUCGUUCGCCGGCUACAACACCUCUCGACAAAAAAAAAAUAAGUACAUGAGAAGAAGAAGGUAGAAGACAGACUUUGAGUUUUGCUUUCCAACCGUACGUUCCUUACAAUUUUGGAACUAUUGGCGAUGAUCUAGAUGGAGGUAUCAAUUUGUUUAAGUAAUUUUCAUUUAAUUGUUUUAUUACUUUUUCUAUAUAUAUCUUCCAUUUGUCGCCGGAUCUAGAUUUCUUUCUCUCUCCAACAUCACGUUUCUUUUUUCUAAUUCAGCUUCUAUUUCUCUAUAUUCUUCCAUAAAGUUUCUAUUUCUUUAUUUGUCUUCCAAUAACAUCAGCAACAGUUGUUGGGUUUUUUUUAAUUCAGUUUCUCUUUCUCAAUUCAGUUGGCGCGAUAGGCGACAAUCGGCGGGGAGUCUGGCAAAGCAAGAAGAAAGAAAAGGGGGAAGAUUUUGGCAGACGAUGCAAGGGCCUCUAAUUUAUUUAGGGAAUCUUCUAAUUAAAUUUGGUUACAUUUCAUCUUAUGCCUUUUUUGUUCUGAAUUUUCAGUUUUGGGAUUUCCAAGCUCCAUUCAAGAAGUCAGUUGGGCCUCCAAGAAGAUCACCUCUAGAUGGUAAAUUUGAUUGCAACUUCACCUUUAUCACCUUUAUUUUUCUUCUUCUUUUUCUUGAUAUGCAUCCAUUAGUGCGCUUAACCUUUUUGUGUUGCUUGAUGGAAUAAGUUCUGUAUGUGUGGUUCUUUGCUAAUUGUGCACGNUCUCUUUACAUUUCUCUUCCUUCUUUCUCUACAAUAUUCAUGUCUCUUUCUCUUCUUAUUAACCACUGUGAUUUCUACCGCUGGCGGCGACAGCAGCAGCACCAUCGUGCUCUCCUUCCUCUCCUGCUUCAUCUGACAGCCGCGCUCAUCCAGAUCGCCGUCGUGUAGCCUCCGCCUCCAUCGACGAGCAACAGCAACCAUUGUGCCCCCGCCGCCGGCAAUGUCUCUAUCUUUCCCCGUGUGCUUGAUUUUAUCCUUAUUUGGUGAUUUUCAUUUAUAUGUUCAAUUUUACUUCAUUAAAUUCUUUAAUUUUCUCUGCUUCAUUUUUAUUGUGACUUGCUUUGUGAUUCAGGACUGCGGUUCUCAUUUUUGUCUGUGGGCUUCAUUUUCUUGCCCUUGAAUUCAAUUUGGCAGAUCUGAUUCUUGAACUAGGGCUUCGAUACAACACUAUAUUUUGUGAUUCAGGAGUGCGGUUCUCCAUUUGUGGUGUGUUUUUUUUAAUUUAUCAUACAACACUAUAUUUGUGUAUGUUGUCGAUAUGAAUUUGCUUGAUUUCUUAUAUUCAAUAGUUUAUGUCUUUUAGAAUUGAGUCAUGUAUAUGGUAUGAUGUAUAUAGCUUAUGUCUAUUUUCACCAACAAGCAUGUGUUUGUAGUGAGAAUUAUUGAUUUUUCUCUUAAAACUUUGGGGAUUUAGUGCAUGUGUUUAUACUGCAGAAUUGAUGUGUAUAUGGUAGGAUGUAUACAGCUUAGUCAUAUUAUUGUUAGUUCUUUCUUUCUCCUUGACUAUUUUAAUUUGAUUUGUUGAACCCAUAACUAUUACAUAUAUAGUGUUUAGAAAAUUCAUGUUUAUGAGGUUGCUGUCUGUUGGUUGUCUCGAUCAAUUUGGCACCGAUUUUACUCAUUAAAUUCUUCAAUUUUCUCUGCUUCAUUUUUAUUUUGAUUUGCUCUAUGAUUCAGGGCUUGGCAACCGGAGGUCCCUCAGCUGGCUGUUAACGAUGGUGGGGAGGGCUGAGCUGUAGUGGCGUUUGUAGCAUUUUCAUGUUCUGACAGGAUCGCGGAUGGCAAAAGGUACAAGUAGAUACAAAUUUGUUUAAAUAAUGAUAUUUGUAUUAAAUUGGCUACAACACUCGCCAGCCAUCUCUCUAUCUUUCUCCUGCCAAAUAGAUACCGUCGUUCGCCGGCUACAACACCUCUCGCAAAAAAAAAAAUUAAGCAUGAGAAGAAGAAGGUGAAGCGGACUUUGAGUUUUGCUUUCCAACCGAGUUCCUUACAAUUUUGGAACUAUUGGCGAUGAUCUAGAUGGAGGUAUCAAUUUGUUUCAGUAAUUUUCAUUUAAUUUGUUUUAUUACUUUUUCUAUAUAUGUCUUCCAUUUGUCGCCGGAUCUAGAUUUCUUUCUCUCUCCAACAUCACGUUUCUUUUUCAUCUUCUGUUUUCUAAUUCAGCUUCUAUUUCUCUAUAUUUUUCCAUAAAGUUUCUAUUUCUUUAUUUGUCUUCCAGUAACAUCAGCAACAGUUGUAGGGUUUUUUUUUAAUUCAGUUUCUCUUUCUCAAUUCAGUUGGCGCGACAGGCGGCGAUCGGCGAGGAGACUGGCAAAGCAAGAAGAAAGAAAAGGGAGAAGAUUUUGGCAAACGGUGCAAGGGCCUCUAAUUUAUUUAGGGAAUCUUCUAAUUAAAUUUGGUUACAUUUCAUAUUAUGCCUUUUUUGUUCUGAAUUUUCAGUUUUGGGAUUUCCAAGCUCCAUUCAAGAAGUCAGUUGGGCCUCCGAGAAGAUCACCUCUAGAUGGUAAAUUUGAUUGCAACUUCACCUUUAUCACCUUUAUUUUUCUUCUUCUUUUUCUUGAUAUGCAUCCAUUAGUGCGCUAACCUUUUUGUUGUUGCUUGAUGGAAAUAAGUUCUGUAUGUGUGGUUCUUUGCAAUUGUGCACAUAAUUACAAAAUAUUAUCCCAUAUAAUGAAGUAGAUUUGCUCAGUUAUAUGAGUGAAGUAGAAGUGAAGUAGAAGUCCUGGAAUUCUUGCCAUUGGUGAUUAUUUGAAAGUUAUUUCUCUUUUAGCUUCUCUUUCUCUCUCUCUCUCUCUCUUUUCCGGCAGCUUCUUCCUUCAAGGUCUGUAGCUUCUUCUCAAUCUUUAAUGCUGGCAGAUUCGCCCUUCAAUGUCAUUGCUUCUUUUCUACAAGCUUCUUGCUUUAAAUUUGCAGAUUUUGUGGUUCGUUGGAAUUGAAAGAAGAGCAACAUUAUUGCUAUCUUUAUUUUAUUGUUCUUUUGACAUGUACUAAGGGCUUUGAGCAUAAUUAUUGGUAU
rnacentral:lncRNA from 1 species